AGGGUUUGAUCAUGGCUCAGAAUGAACGUUAGCGGCGUGGAUUAGGCAUGCAAGUCGAGCGAGAAGUUGUUGAUGGAACCUUCGGGGGAAGUCUUCGACGGACAGCGGCAGACGGCGUAGUAAGGCGUAGGUUACGUACCCUUGAGACCGGCACAGCUACGGGAAACUGUAGGUAAUACCGGAUGAUCUUUCAGGACAUGAUCGUCCUGAAAGCAAUUGGUGAGAUUCCGCUCUUGGAGCGGCCUACGUGGUAUUAGCUAGUUGGUGAGGUAAUGGCUCACCAAGGCUGAGAUGCCUAGGGGGUGUGAGAGCAUGGCCCCCACGACUGGGACUGAGACACUGCCCAGACAUCUACGGAUGGCUGCAGUCGAGAAUAUUCCGCAAUGGGCGAAAGCCUGACGGAGCGACGCCGCGUGUGGGAUGAAGGCCCUUGGGUUGUAAACCACUGUCAGAGGGGAUGAAAUUCCUGGAGGUUAUCCUCCUGGAUUGACAUAGCCUCAAAGGAAGCCCGGGCUAAGUACGUGCCAGCAGCCGCGGUAACACGUACUGGGCGAACGUUAUUCGGAAUCACUGGGCUUAAAGGGUACGUAGGCGGCCAGAUUAGUCAGAUGUGAAAUCCCACGGCUCAACCGUGGAACUGCGUUUGAUACUGUCUGGCUUGAGUGAGAUAGGGGUGUGUGGAACUUCCGG
rnacentral:rRNA from 1 species